GAUGAACGCUGGCGGCGUGCCUAAUACAUGCAAGUCGAGCGAACAGACGAGGAGCUUGCUCCUCUGACGUUAGCGGCGGACGGGUGAGUAACACGUGGAUAACCUACCUAUAAGACUGGGAUAACUUCGGGAAACCGGAGCUAAUACCGUAUAAUAUAUUGAACCGCAUGGUUCAAUAGUGAAAGACGGUUUUGCUGUCACUUAUAGAUGGAUCCGCGCCGCAUUAGCUAGUUGGUAAGGUAACGGCUUACCAAGGCAACGAUGCGUAGCCGACCUGAGAGGGUGAUAGGCCACCCUGGAACUGAGACACGGUCCAGACUCCUACGGGAGGCAGCAGUAGGGAAUCUUACGCAAUGGGCGAAAGCCUGACGGAGCAACGCCGCGUGAGUGAUGAAGGUCUUCGGAUCGUAAAACUCUGUUAUUAGGGAAGAACAAAUGUGUAAGUAACUAUGCACGUCUUGACGGUACCUAAUCAGAAAGCCACGGCUAACUACGUG
rnacentral:rRNA from 1 species